GAUGAACGCUAGCGGCAGGCCUAAUACAUGCAAGUCGAACGGUGUCUUCGGACAUAGUGGCGCACGGGUGCGUAACACGUAUGCAACCUACCUUACAUUGGGGGAUAGCCUUUCGAAAGGGAGAUUAAUACCGCAUAAGACAGUAGCUGGGCAUCCAGCAGCUGUUAAAGAUUUAUCGAUGUAAGCUGGGCAUGCGUCCAAUUGGCUAGUUGGUGAGGUAACGGCUCACAAAGGCGAUGAUUGGUAGGGGAACUGAGAGGUCAAUCCCCCACACUGGCACUGAGAUACGGGCCAGGCUCCUACGGGAGGCAGCAGUAGGGAAUAUGGGGCAAUGGACGCAAGUCUGACCCAGCCAUGCCGCGUGCAGGAUGAAGGCGUUAUGCGUUGUAAACUGCUUUUAUACAGGAAGAAACGACUCUUGCGAGAGGCAUUGACGGUACUGUAUGAAUAAGCACCGGCUAACUCCGUGCCAGCAGCCGCGGUAAAAC
rnacentral:rRNA from 1 species